GUAGGGAAUCUUGCGCAAUGGGCGAAAGCCUGACGCAGCCAUGCCGCGUGAAUGAUGAAGGUCUUAGGAUUGUAAAAUUCUUUCACCGGGGACGAUAAUGACGGUACCCGGAGAAGAAGCCCCGGCUAACCUCGUGCCAGCAGCCGCGGUAAUACGAAGGGGGCUAGCGUUGCUCGGAAUUACUGGGCGUAAAGGGAGCGUAGGCGGAUAGUUUAGUCAGAGGUGAAAGCCCAGGGCUCAACCUUGGAAUUGCCUUUGAUACUGGCUAUCUUGAGUAUGGAAGAGGUAUGUGGAACUCCGAGUGUAGAGGUGAAAUUCGUAGAUAUUCGGAAGAACACCAGUGGCGAAGGCGGCUUUCUGGACUGUAACUGACACUGAGGUACGAAAGCGUGGGGAGCAAACAGGAUUAGAUACCCGGGUAGUCC
rnacentral:rRNA from 1 species